GAAUGUGAAGCUCUGCGGUGGAGCGCCCGGUUCAGGUCCGGGAGGUCGGCGGUUCGAAUCCGCUCACGUUCA
rnacentral:tRNA from 1 species